CGCGGAGGGAGCGGUGAAGCCGCGGCGGGCGGGAGCGCCCGGGCAGCCUGCCCGGAGCGCGCUGUGCGCAUGCGCCUGGCGGGCCGUUCGAAGGCGCGGCGGGAACGGGCGGGGAUGAGGCUUCAGUACCAAGGGAAUAAGGAUGUCAAUUGUCACAGUGCAGCUCGGGCAGUGUGGGAACCAGAUUGGGCACGAGGUGUUCAGUGCCCUCUGCAGUGACACCCGUGGCACCCACGGGCUGUGCUCCAGGAAGGAGAACCAGUCCUACCAGGAUUCCUGCAGGGAACGGUUCUUCUGCGAGGAGCAAUCUGCAGUGCCUGAGGCCCGGGCUGUGCUCGUUGACAUGGAGCCCAAGGUGAUCAGCCAGACCUUGUCCACGGCUGCCAGCUCUGGCCUCUGGAAGUACAGCAGCCACUCCCACUUCUGCCAGAAGCAAGGCUCUGGGAACAACUGGGCCAACGGUUACUGUGUGCACGGGCCCAGGCACCAAGAAGCCAUCAUGACCCUGGUGCAGAAGGAGGCAGAGCGGUGUGACCGACUGGGGGGAUUUUUCACCAUCAUGAGCAUGGCUGGGGGCACAGGAUCAGGCCUGGGGGCGUUUGUCACCCAGUGUCUGAGGGAUGCUUUCCCAGCCUCCUUCAUCCUGAACCACGUCAUCUGGCCCUAUGGCACUGGGGAGGUCAUUGUUCAAAACUACAACUCUGUUUUGACUCUGUCACAUCUGUACCACUCAUCAGAUGCCCUUCUUGUCCAUGAAAAUGAUGUCAUCCACAAGAUCUGUGCCCAGCUGAUGAAUAUCAAACAGAUUUCCUUCAGGGAUGUCAACCAAGUCAUUGCUCACCAGCUGGGCAGCGUUUUCCAGCCCACUCACACAGCAGGAGGGGGCUCAGGCUACAGCAGGAGCCCCUUAGGAGAUUUAAUGGAGACACUGGUCCCACAUCCCGAGUUCAAGAUGCUGGGCCUGAGGAACAUCCCCCAGAUGCCUGAGAGCUCCCUGCCCUACAGCACCUUCAGCUGGCCCGGCCUCCUCAAACACCUCAGGCAGAUGCUCAUUGCUAAUGCCCAGAUGGAGGAAGGUAUUGAUUGGCAGGUACGACCACCACACCCAGGCUCCUCCAUCCCCUCCACAAACAAAGCCCUGCACUUCAACACUUCCAUUGCCAACCUGGUUGUCCUGAGAGGAAAAGAUGUGCACAGCGUGGACUUGGGAAGUUUCCAAGAUCCCUCCUUAUACACAUCAUGGCUAAACCCCCAGGAUGCUUUCAAUGCAUGGAAAACUCCCAGAGCAUUUAACAAGUAUGAAAAGUCUGCUGCUUUGGUCAGCAACAGCCAGUUCCUGCUGAAGCCUCUGGACAGCAUCGUAGGAAAAGCUUGGAACAUGUUUGCUUCCAAAGCUUACCUUCACCAGUACACAAAGUUUGGAAUCCAGGAGGAAGAUUUCCUGGACUGCUUCACAACCCUGGAACAAGUGAUCUCCAGUUACACCAAUCUGUGAUUUAUUUCUGUGUUAACAUGGUCUGAAAUAGAGAUUUUCUGAAAGAACCAAGCUGGAAAACCUUCCAUCAACCCCCUGAAAAGAAACUGCAGGAGAGAUUGCACAAGAAGUUCAGACAAACAGCACAGGCAAUUCGAGUUUGCAGGAACAAAGGGUCAGGAAAGGAGACCAUGAUCACAAACAGAAUUUCCAGAAAUGAGAAUAGGUAACUGCAUGAAAAAUUGGCCAAGUCCCAGGAAUCCUUUUCCUUCUCACUUCACAGAACAGGUAAAAGUUUUUCAAAAGGCUAAGGACAGGUAAGUGCCCUGAGAAACAAGGAAGAGAGCAGUGGGUCAUUGCAGUGCUGUAGCAAUAAAUAACUUUAUUGCAGAAAUAACCUCAUGUUAUCUCUGUAUUCAUAAUUCUGAGCAUGAGGCAAACACAGCAGGUGCUCAGUGAACCUGUGUAUGAUAGAACCAUAUUUGUUAUUUAUUUAUGGCACUUCAUAUAUCCUGCUAAUGGAGCAGGAUGUUUGGUCCUUUUUGCUUGUGUGAUGGCAGAAUUUGUGCCACAUCAGGAAGCACAGCACACAGGUAAGAUGUCUAACCCCAAAGCAAAAAUUCACAUUUUAGCUGCUAUAGUCCCUUAGUGCUCUGGAGCAGGGGCUGACAGGAAUUGUUUUGGGCAUCUCUAAGCUUCUUCCUGUGAAUGUUUUCCAGUCCUGAAACUCUCACACCCUUUCCCAAACUCAGCCUUCAUUUUUUUUUGAUCUAUGAUGGGAUUCCUUUAUUUUUUCCCCAGGAUGUGGAGAGGGUCAGAGUGACAGGAAGUGAACAGCCACUAUCAAAUACUCAUCACCUGCAAUUACGUUAAAAGGGAACUGGAUCUCUCUGUCACAAGUGGGGACGAUUGCCAGAGAUUGCCUCACUUCCCACAAACACCUGGCUCCUCCUGGGCAGGGCUGCCCUGGGCUCUGCCCCACGCACAGAGGGAAAGACACUCUGUACAGGAGGUAAGGGAGGCAACAGAAUUGAAAUCACCACUUGCAGUAGUAAAAUACUGCUUUGAAAAUGUUUUUGGCAUCCAUUAGCUGGAAGUCAAGUAAAUACUGGCUUCAGGCAUCUUAAAAGUUUCUUCCUUGCUGCUCCCCACCUCGAGCCUUGCACAACACCCAGGAAUGCACUGCCUGUGUCACAGGAGGUCAGCUGUGAGGAGAGACCUCCAAAUCCAGGAAGCUGAGAAAUGAAACGUUAUGAAAAGAUCCCACAUAUCAAGAGCUCUCCAGAAAGCAGCUGCAGCAAACCAGGCCCUGGGAGCUGUGAGGUUUCCAACCAGCCCAGAGAGGUUUUGUGACCAUGGUGGGAUUUGCACGAGGUUGUAAACCUGAAUGUGUUUUCUCUCUGAGACAGAGAACUGCUGAGCACAGAAACUUGUGUUUUCCCAUCAAAGGAUGGAAAAAUCCUAAUAACCUUUCUAAUAAAGCCACAGUCCCUCAAAGUGUGAGCCUUGAACAAGGUAUUGAUGUUUUCAGCAGCAGCUCCUGCAAGAGCACUGCCAGGUCAUUUCCCAUGGAUGCAACAGACUUUGGGAAGUGCUUUGGCUCUGGUGAGAAUUUUACAGGUGACACCAGAGUCACCAGCCCAUUGUGGAGGCCCCAGGAGCCGCUCCAGGAGCCGGGUGUGGCUGUAACCAGAGCAGGAACAACACCCCGAGCUGACAGGGCUCUCCUCGCCCCCCAGCAGGAAGGAGCCGCGGUUUCCUGCCCGGGCAGCCCCGGCACAGCCCCGAGUGAGCCCGGGGAUUCCACUCCAGCUCAGCAGCUCCUCUGCUGGAAGGUGACCUUUGCUUCAGUGCUACUGGAGUCACUGCUCUUUGACUCAGUUCAGGGAUAGUAAUAAUAAUAAUAAAUUAAUAAAACCUCCAAGGGCAGUGCUAAAGCAAACUGAGCCCAAGCUGGGCUCGUUCCACAGGUUCACAUUUGCAGCUUUGUUCCACCACACCUGGACAGCACCAGCACUGAAGGGCUGAGUGGCCUCAACAGCCUCUUCACUCAUAAUUCAAACAUGGUAGUAAUCACCUUUUUUGACCAAAAUACCAUUUUUUCCCCCUAAAUUUUUAACACAUUCCAAGCAGUCACUGAUGCAGGGCUCUCCCCAUUUGCUGGGAGGUGACAGAACAGUGUGAGUUUCUGUUUGAGCUCCCUCCCCUCUUGUGGCAGCUGCCCCAGGUUGUUCCAGCCUCUCCCUCUGCCAGAACAAUGUUCUGCUGCCUCCAUGAAGGCACAGUGGAUGCAUCAAUAAACAAGUGAAAUGCAUGAAGAAACUCAGGCCAGCAUUUCAUGCUCUCCAUUAGGCACUUGAAUGAGCAAAGCCACAGUGGGCUCAGAGAGCUUUUCACCGUGAUCCUUCUAACAAUGGCUUUGCAGGAGCACAUGUGAAUGUUUCUCCUGUCUGAAUGCACUGGAGGCUGCACUCCCCUCCCGGGGUCGGUGAUCAGCACUGAUCCCUCACCUGCCCAGCAGGAUCCCCUCCCACUCCCACUCCCCACCAGCUGCUGCAGUCUGGGUGAAGCACUCACUGUUUGCUUACUGCUUUUCCUUCUCCUCCAAAAACUAACCAAAUUUACAGGGAAAAAAGCAGAAUUUUAAAUCUCAGGAGAGUCAUUCCAAUUACCUUAUCUAGAACUACACUCAGCCUUUUAACUGCUGAUUACAAAGGAUUUUUUAACCAUGUGCUUCAAAGAAAACAGAUUAUUUUUACCUCCAAAGAAGACACCCAAGCCCCACUCUUCUUUCCAUUUGCCAUCAAUUCUGUUCACUAAUAUUUAUAUUUCUGCUUGAUAAUCAGGGCAAGAUCCAGUGUUUUGCCUGCACUUAGCAGGGCCUGCAGCGAGAGGGAGGCUGAUUCCAACAAAUGAAAUGAUGGAGCCCAAAAGCACAGCAGGGAAGGACUUUGUGGAACAGCACCAAGCCCCUGUCAGGGGCUGGUGACAAGGAUCCUUCAGCAGGAACAGCAGCUGGGGGGUUGAGGGAGCUGCAAACACAGACCAGGGUGACACUGGCAGGGCUGAGCACAGGGAGCAGCUCCUGACUGCUCUGAUGGAUGAGGCACGGGCUGAGCUGACCCGGCUCGCUGUGACCCAGCUCUGCUUGAGCAAUUCCUGCAGCUGGGGCACUGCCCCCUCCCAGAGGUGUGGGAGGCACAGUCCUCAGGGCAGGCAGGGGAACGGGGAGAGAACCCGGAGGAGGAGGAGCUGCAGCCCUAUCUGACCUGUUUCACAGACAAUGAGACCAAAAAUAAAAAAUCUGUCACAUUAAAGUCAUUAGUUGUUCUUACUGGGCUGUUACUUCCGUGUGAUUUUCAGUCAUUCCCAGAAAAAAAAGCAAGAUACUUUAUUUAGUGUCUAAGAGCACAAAACAGCAGCUAAAAAUAGGGACUUGUGCCAAGAUUGUUCCUCUUGCAAAAGCUCCCUUUGGAUUUGUCCCCAACACACUGAACUGACCGACUGCUUCUAAUGUGUAAUGAAGAUAGGUACAACAAAAGGAAACUUGGGUUAGAAUCCAUGUUUUCAGGUCAAAUGCUAAAGGCUGAGUCUUUCUCUGCAGCACGAAAUGCAACUGCUGAAUUAUCUUGUGUUCACACUGGAGAAUGUUUGGGACAGCAAAUGUCGCAGUGUUACCAAGAGAGUUCAAUACAGAGAAUGGAAACAAUCCAGCUGAAAUAAA